rnacentral:rRNA from 1 species
AAUGAACGUUGGCGGCGUGGAUUAGGCAUGCAAGUCGAGCGGAAAGGCCCGCAAGGGCACUCGAGCGGCGUAAGGGACAGUAAUGUGUAGGUAACGUACCCCUGGGUCUAGGAUAGCUGCGGGAAACUGCAAUUAAUACUAGAUAACGUCUCCGGACCAAAGGUGUGAUUCCACCUGGGGAGCGGCCUACAUCCUAUUAGCUAGUUGGCGAGGUAAUGGCUCACCAAGGCGAAGAUGGGUAGCAGGUGUGAGAGCACGACCUGCGUCACUGGGACUGAGACACUGCCCAGACACCUACGGGUGGCUGCAGUCGAGAAUCUCCGGCAAUGGGCGAAAGCCUGACCGAGCGACGCCGCGUGUGGGAUGAAGGCCUUCGGGUUGUAAACCACUGUCGGAGGGGAUGAAGUGUUAGUGGGUUCUCCCAUUAACUUGACUGAUCCUCGGAGGAAGGGUGGGCUAAGUUCGUGCCAGCAGCCGCGGUAAUAC